GACGAACGCUGGCGGCGUGCCUAAUACAUGCAAGUCGAACGCAGUGGGGACGGGUGAGUAAAACGUGGCUAACCUCCCAUCAGAGGGGAUAACACUUGGAAACAGGGGCUAAACCGAUAAUGGUGGAGGGACCUGGGGUGGAUUAGCUAGUUGGUGAGGUAACGGCUCACCAAGGCCACGAUACAGAGCGGACUGUGAAGGAGGAUCGGCACAACGGGACCGGGGACACGGCCCGGCCUCUUACGGGAGGCGGCAGUGGGUAAUCUUGGGCAAUGGGCGAAAGUCUUACCGAGAAACGCCGCGUGGGUGAAGAAGGUUUUCGGAUCGUAAAACUCUGUUUUUGGGGAGGCGGUAUCUAACCAGAAAGCCACGGCUAACUCCGUGCCAGCAGCCGCGGUAAUAC
rnacentral:rRNA from 1 species